GCAAUGAUGAUCUAAAAUCAUAAUGAUAAAAAUGAUUUGAUAUCCUCUAAGAAGAUCUGAGCAG